AUUGAACGCUGGCGGCAUGCCUUACACAUGCAAGUCGAACGGUAACGCGGGGCAACCUGGCGACGAGUGGCGAACGGGUGAGUAAUACAUCGGAACGUGCCCAGUAGUGGGGGAUAGCCCGGCGAAAGCCGGAUUAAUACCGCAUACGACCUACGGGUGAAAGCAGGGGAUCGCAAGACCUUGCGCUAUUGGAGCGGCCGAUGUCAGAUUAGGUUGUUGGUGGGGGUAAAAAGCCUACCAAGCCGACGAUCUGUAGCUGGUCUGAGAGGACGACCAGCCACACUGGGACUGAGACACGGCCCAGACUCCUACGGGAGGCAGCAGUGGGGAAUUUUGGACAAUGGGCGCAAGCCUGAUCCAGCCAUGCCGCGUGCGGGAAGAAGGGCCCUUCGGGUUGGUAAACCGC
rnacentral:rRNA from 1 species